CGCCGCUGCUCCACCGCCCGCCGUCCUUCUAUCCGGAACAGUAGCCGCCGCAUCCUCAUCCACGACCGUAGCCGCCGCCCGUGAAGCCAUGCCGCCGCCUCACAGCACACAUCCCUCAUCUCCCCUUCCUCCCCGGUCCCGCCUCCUCCAGAGCCUCGGCUCGUGCUCCAGAGGAGCCGUCACGUCCGCCGCCUCCUCCCCCUCGCCCUCGCCGCCGGGAUGGCCCCGCCCUCUCCGCUACGCCGUCCUCGGCGCCGGCUUCGCGGGGCUCUCCGUCGCGUGGCACCUCCUCAAGCAAAGCCCGAAGUAUUCGCGCGUGUCGGUGGACGUCUACGACGAGAACGGCGUCGGGGGAGGCGCCUCGGGGGUCUCUGGAGGGCUUCUCCAUCCGUACUCACCAAAAGCCAAGCUUCUCUGGAGAGGAGGCGAAUUCUGGAAAGAGAGCAUGGAUCUCCUGCGCAGCGCAGAGAAAGCGAAUGGAAUCGCUGGAUCAGAUGGCGAUGGUCGGGAUGAUGAAGCCCUUAUCUGGAGAAGGCAAUCAGUUUUUCCUUGUCACGCUACAUCCGUUUGAGCGUCAAUUAAUAUGGGAUGGAGGGUGUAUAUUUUAACCGUUUGUUUUUGUUUAUGUUUGGCCUAUUGAUAAGUAUACCUUCCACUGAGUAGGGGAAUUUUGCGGCCACCUACGACAGAGAAGGCUGCUGAUAUAUUGCUAGAGGUACUGCUGGACUGAGAUUACGAAGCUAUGCUCAGGUGCUUCCUUUUUGUGUUUUUUGGUGCAUGGUUUUAAUUGCUUCGACUUCGACCUAUUCAAGUUAGAAUGCUCAGAGUUGCCUCCAGAGUUGCAGCCUUCAAGUUCUUGAUUCGGAUGCUGCACAAAGACUGAUCCCUGGGUUACGUGUUCCGCUCAACCUUGCGAUUUAUAUGCCACUAGCACUGAACAUCAACCCUAAGAAAUAUUUGCAGGCAUUGUUCCUUGCGUGCCAAAAUAUGGCCAAGGAAACAUCUGUAUCACCCAGUGAACUGAAAGAGUUCAGUUUGUACAACAAACAUAUCGAUAAUCUACAACAACUUUCAGGAGAUUAUGAUGCAGUGAUCAUCUGCCUUGGGGGCAAAGCUAGCUCACUUCCAGAACUUACAAAUAAGUUGCCUCUUAGAACCUGUAGAGGAGUUAUUGCUGAAUUCAAACUGCCAUCAGAUACAGCAGAAAAAUAUGGCAGUCAAAGUCCUUCAAUCUUGUCUGAUGCAUGGCUGGCAUUCCAAGGACCCUGCACCGUUUCUGUCGGGUCAACUUGGCAAUGGAAGUCUGACAAUCAUGAUCCAAGUGUAUCUGAUGAAGAAGCACGUACUGCAAUGGAAGAGCUGCUCCCCAAAGCUUCUGCUGUUUAUCCAGGAAUAAGUAAAUGGGAUUAUGUACGAGCAAGGGCUGGGAUAAGAGCCAUGCCUCCAUUGACAGCCAAUGGAUCCCUGCCACUGUUGGGUUGUCUAAAUGAUGUUAUAGGCGAGAGAAGCAAUUGUGCCUUUUGGCUAGUCGGUGGCCUUGGAGCCAGGGGCCUCCUGUAUCAUGGAUUGGCUGGAAAACUAACUGCCAAAGCUGUGAUUUCCAGUGAUGAGAACAUGAUACCUUCUGAAUUCACCUGCUGGAAGGCGAUCAAGGCUUCGCGGUGAAUACCGUAUCGUGAUUCAUUCAACCAUGCUAUCAUAGGAUUGUAUCAGGGAGUUGGAGAGAUCAAGAGAAUGAUGCGAUGCCUUCAGUGCAGUUGCUUAUAUGAAGGGCUACUGCAUCAUAUCGAAACCUGAAACCAUACUCGUGGUCAAUCCACAAGGCAUGCACGGCAAAUAGUCACAUGUAUAUCGCUAUGGAUGUCGUGUUGCGAUGACCAUUUUGAUGCCCUCUCAAGGAAGCUUGGUUAAGACGCAUAAACCAUGUUUACAUCUACUAAACCCUGAACUGCCGAGGUAGGAUUUUUUUUGGGGGGGAGUUGAUUAGAAUUUUUUGCCCAUUUCUGUACCAUCGUGUUUCUGUAAACCUGAGGAUAGAUGAGGUUUAUGAGUUUUUGUGUAGGUAGAUGUGAAUCACUAGGAUAUUCUCUUAUGCAUAGAAUUAUCCAUUUCUUUGUGUUUAUGAGAUGUUCAUUCAUUUGAAAAGGUAGAAGAGAUUUUGGAUGUAGG
rnacentral:rRNA from 1 species